GUACACAGAAGACAGAGAGAAAGCACUCAGAGAACCUAUUUCUUGAGAUAACUGAGUUUAAUCAAUACCUUUUGAAGUAUCAUGAUGAGAAUUAUUAAGAAGGGAUUUUAAUUGGUAUCCUGAAGAAAUGAACAGUAACACUGCAUUUCCAAAUCUUCUCCUCUUGUUCAUCAAAAGGGGUAUGAUCAAUGUGGAUAUAUCAAAUCAAAUUAAGUCAUGAGGCCUUAUCCACCGGGAAUAUUCCACCUUCUUCCUUGCUAUGAUCUGUUUGAUGAGGUGGAGCCUUCAUAAUAAUUUGAUGGCCCCUGAGGGAAGUAACGUGCACAGCCUGGGAGCCAUUUUGGUGUGGGAGAAUUUGGAUGAAGAGCAGCAGAGCCAUGCAAGGAUGACAGCUAACCCAACUUUAUUACU